ensembl:snoRNA Gm23212 predicted gene, 23212
CCUGCAUGAUGACGAACAAAUACUGACUACCUGAAGAUCUUAUUAGCUCUAUCUGAUGGU